AGGAGCUUAGGUUAAUAUUAGACCGAGGGCCUUCAAAGCCCUUAGUGGGGGUGGGAGUCCUCCAGACCCUG
rnacentral:tRNA from 1 species